GAAACUUUAAGUUAAAUAAACUAUUAAUUUUCAAAAUUAAAAAUAAAUCUAUAAAAUUAAGUUUCA
rnacentral:tRNA from 1 species